CGCCUGGACAGGGCCCGAGACAGACGGACAUCUGCAUGCCCAGAGGGAGAGCGGAAGAAGCCGAGCCAGGCUGACCCCAGACCCACUCCAGACAGCGUGACCAGCAGCGGAAUGUCAGGAUCCGGAGAGGAUCCGUUGAAGGCUCACUCUGCUGGCUUUUUGUGGAGGGUGUAAGGAGGGACCCCAGCAAGGAGAGGCACUCCCCAGUGAAAGAUGCUGGACCAAGAAUUGUGUUGGUUUCUGACAAACUACCAUCUUGCUUUUAAAACUGAAAAUCCUGUGUCCUGGGAACCCUCUCAGUCCUGGACAAAAUUAAAUCAGUUGGGACACUUGUGGGAGGGGCUGCGUGGAUGAAAGGAGAUAGAGGAGCUCAGAGAUUGGAAACGAGCUGCCAGAGUUCAUCGUGGAGCCCACUUGCCUUCGAACACUCCGGUGGCCCUGCCUCUGCUCCCUCAGUGGGAUUGGUCAUGGGGGGCCAGGGACCCAGCUGACUCCAGCUGGAACCUUCCCCCAUUCCCGGCUCAGUGAGCACAAAACAGAGCCCCUCCUUCCUGUGACCCAGCCCCACUCCCACCCUCUGUGCCAGGGGGAGCCAGGCCCAGGCGGCCUGGAAUCCCAACCUCCCCCGCCUGGCUCAGAGUGGAAGGAGCAGGAAAUGAAUCACAGCAGAUGCUGCCCCCACUCAUAUCCACAGCUCACCCAGAAAGCAUUACCCAAAGCGUCAGCACCGCACAUCCGGGCACGCACACACCUGCUGGCACCCCCCACCCAGACGGUUCCCACAAAUGCAUUCAGGGAGUCCAGAAACCCGUGGAUGCUGGCAGAGACAGAGGCCUUUUGCAUGACCUCCUCACACGUCCACAACUAAUCUGUCCAGACACCUGCACUCUCACGUGAUGAGAAAGGUACACAGAACCCACUUCCGAAGUUUCAUUUUCAUCUGUGUGCCGAGAUGUCUCUCCAUGAUACAGCUCCUCUCCUGGAGCCCAGCCCCCCAGUCUGUAUGCCUACCUCUGAGUGACCUCAAACUGCCCUCUGCAGUCAGAGAGAGUCAUCUGAAUUCAGGAACCCAGAGUGUCCACACUGCAGGUUCCCGGCUGCCCUAAAUCCAGCCUCACCCCCAGACCUGUCCCAGCUGUGCCCUCCUUCCUGAUGUGCAUGCAGUUGCUCCAGGUUGCUCUCAACUUGGAGCCUGGAUGGGACCGGGACGGGAACAUACUCUGGAGGAAGGAACUGUCCCCCUCAAGACAUCCCUGGGGGUACAUCUACAUUACAGUUUGAGCAAGACCACCAGUGUCUCUGCAGGAGCUGGGGGGGGCUACUCACAGGGGUGGGGGGUCUGCAUGACAACCUGAACCAUACCGGGGUGUUCAUGCUCUCGAAGCAUCAGAUGAGCCACCAAAUGACAGGUCUGGAGUGAAUCGAUACUGGAAAUACUGUCUAGACGUGUCCUCAUUAAAGCCAAACCACGCCUAUCUGUACUCUAGUCCCAGAGACGCCCGAAGGGUGUCUCCGCCCCAAUCAUCACCCAAACCCCACAAGGGACUGAAAUAACAUUGUCCAGUGCCUGUUCUGUGCCAGGCACUGUGCGAGUUCUCACUCACCCACAUUCUCAUCCAGAGCUGCCAGGGUAGCCUGAGAAGCAUCAGUUCCGCAGCACGACCAAGAGUGGGUACACCCCAGAACUGCCAGGGUGCCUAGAGGGGGUCUCUAUGCUAAGGCCAAAGCCAAAUUCACGAUCUGACCUCUUUGAGUCGCUGACAGGACCAACAUUACACAUGUCUCCAGG